rnacentral:rRNA from 1 species
UGCAAGUCGAGCGAACUGAUUAGAAGCUUGCUUCUAUGACGUUAGCGGCGGACGGGUGAGUAACACGUGGGCAACCUGCCUGUAAGACUGGGAUAACUUCGGGAAACCGAAGCUAAUACCGGAUAGGAUCUUCUCCUUCAUGGGAGAUGAUUGAAAGAUGGUUUCGGCUAUCACUUACAGAUGGGCCCGCGGUGCAUUAGCUAGUUGGUGAGGUAACGGCUCACCAAGGCAACGAUGCAUAGCCGACCUGAGAGGGUGAUCGGCCACACUGGGACUGAGACACGGCCCAGACUCCUACGGGAGGCAGCAGUAGGGAAUCUUCCGCAAUGGACGAAAGUCUGACGGAGCAACGCCGCGUGAGUGAUGAAGGCUUUCGGGUCGUAAAACUCUGUUGUUAGGGAAGAACAAGUACAAGAGUAACUGCUCGUACCUUGACGGUACCUAACCAGAAAGCCACGGCUAACUACGUGCCAGCAGCCG